UGAUACCAAUAAUGUAAGGUAUAUCUAUGUAAGAUCUAAUGUAUUGAAGAAUGAGAUGGAUUUGAUUUGAUUUAAAUUUUAGCACCCGAGAGGCGCAGCGGUCUAAGGCACUGCAUCUCAGUGCAAGAGGCGUCACUACAGUCCCUGGUUUGAAUCCAGGCGGUAUCACAUCCGGCCGUAAUUCGCCCAGCGCCGUCCGGGUUUGGCAGGGGGUACCCACAGGCCUCACAAGACUCGUCUGAAGGUCGCCAGUACCACUUUUAAAAAAUGAUCUGCGUACAGGUGGAUGGAUGUGUCGGCAGCCCCUGGGGGAGUGUGUUCCUGCAGUGUUCUGGACUGACUGGUCAGCGGAACUGGAACUUUUUAAAAGCAGCAGAGAAUACUUCCCUGGACAAAGGAUUCCUAUAUACUGCAAGCCCAAAACCCACCAUGACUGUUAACCUGUUGAUGUAAGCGUUGACUGCAGUGUUCUCAAGCUUACCAUCCCCCGGCCACGGCUCAGGCUGUAGUACCCAUGGAGGUGAAUGACUUUCCCAGAGAAGACACAGACAGUGAGAGCCACACAGAGCUCCAUCACCGUCAGGACCAGCAGUAGGCCCUUUACCCCAUUCAAGACUGUCUGAUGCACACAGGGGUAAAGCAAGAGGAAUAUGUGUCAAUGGUUGGGCUAAUGAUUUGCAUUGUAACUUAGCAGGAUUUACAAGUUUUGUUCAGGUUUCUCAUCCUGGUAAAACAAUAUCAACUGUAUCUCGUAAAUAUAUAAAACAUUUAAUAAGCCUUCAAAGAUGUAUUUCUCUAGCUCCUUGCAACCUUUAAUAAACAGACUGUUUGGAGGCA